GCACAGUAAGAGCUUGCUCUUACGGGUGGCGAGUGGCGGACGGGUGAGGAAUACAUCGGAAUCUACUUUUUCGUGGGGGAUAACGUAGGGAAACUUACGCUAAUACCGCAUACGACCUACGGGUGAAAGCAGGGGAUCUUCGGACCUUGCGCGAUUGAAUGAGCCGAUGUCGGAUUAGCUAGUUGGCGGGGUAAAGGCCCACCAAGGCGACGAUCCGUAGCUGGUCUGAGAGGAUGAUCAGCCACACUGGAACUGAGACACGGUCCAGACUCCUACGGGAGGCAGCAGUGGGGAAUAUUGGACAAUGGGCGCAAGCCUGAUCCAGCCAUACCGCGUGGGUGAAGAAGGCCUUCGGGUUGUAAAGCCCUUUUGUUGGGAAAGAAAUCCAGCUGGCUAAUACCCGGUUGGGAUGACGGUACCCAAAGAAUAAGCACCGGCUAACUUCGUGCCAGCAGCCGCGGUAAUACGAAGGGUGCAAGCGUUACUCGGAAUUACUGGGCGUAAAGCGUGCGUAGGUGGUCGUUUAAGUCCGUUGUGAAAGCCCUGGGCUCAACCUGGGAACUGCAGUGGAUACUGGGCGACUAGAGUGUGGUAGAGGGUAGCUGAAUUCCUGGUGUAGCAGUGAAAUGCGUAGAGAUCAGGAGGAACAUCCAUGGCGAAGGCAGCUACCUGGACCAACACUGACACUGAGGCACGAAAGCGUGGGG
rnacentral:rRNA from 1 species